GGUGUUGUGCCAGAGUGGUUAAUGGGUUAGACUCGAAUUAUGAGCGUAUCUAAUGCCUUAGGGCGCGUAGGUUCGAAUCCUGCCAACAUCG